rnacentral:rRNA from 1 species
GUAGGGGGCAAGCGUUAUCCGGAUUUACUGGGUGUAAAGGGAGCGUAGACGGCAUGGCAAGCCAGAUGUGAAAGCCCGGGGCUCAACCCCGGGACUGCAUUUGGAACUGUCAGGCUAGAGUGUCGGAGAGGAAAGCGGAAUUCCUAGUGUAGCGGUGAAAUGCGUAGAUACUAGGAGGAACACCAGUGGCGAAGGCGGCUUUCUGGACGAUGACUGACGUUGAGGCUCGAAAGCGUGGGGAGCAAACAGGAUUAGAUACCCUGGUAGUCCACGCUGUAAACGAUGAAUACUAGGUGUCGGGUGGCAAAGCCAUUCGGUGCCGCAGCAAACGCAAUAAGUAUUCCACCUGGGGAGU